rnacentral:rRNA from 1 species
UGGGGAAUAUUGCACAAUGGGGGAAACCCUGAUGCAGCAACGCCGCGUGAGUGAUGUAGGUCUUCGGAUUGUAAAGCUCUGUCUUCAGGGACGAUAAUGACGGUACCUGAGGAGGAAGCCACGGCUAACUACGUGCCAGCAGCCGCGGUAAUACGUAGGUGGCAAGCGUUGUCCGGAUUUACUGGGCGUAAAGGGAGCGUAGGCGGACACUUAAGUGGGAUGUGAAAUCCCCGGGCUUAACCCGGGAGCUGCAUUCCAAACUGGGUGGCUAGAGUGCAGGAGAGGAAAGUGGAAUUCCUAGUGUAGCGGUGAAAUGCGUAGAGAUUAGGAAGAACACCAGUGGCGAAGGCGACUUUCUGGACUGUAACUGACGCUGAGGCUCGAAAGCGUGGGGAGCAAACAG